GUUUCGACAUUUCUUUUUCUUCGAGACGCUGUCCGAGAAGGUUACCUUAGCCAUUGGCUCAUGGCGGCUUUCUUUCCUGACGUUUUUCGUCAAUGCCUGGUGAAGUCUGAGCUUCUUCAUUGCAUUACGUGCACGUGAUCGUUGCCUCAUGAAGAGGGUCUCCACUAUUUUGCAAGACAAUUGAGGAGAAAAGAGGAAACUUGAAAAAGUAAUACUGGGUUUCUUGUUCGGUUUGAGCUGUUGAUGUUUGGUGUGCAGUGGUUUAGCAGUCAUUUAGUCGAGAAAUGCCCGAGAUGGAUGAUCAACUGCUGAGACUCCCUCACAUCGUCUUUUUCGAUGGAGACGCUGUCCGAGAAGGUUAAGCUUGGCCAUUGCAAACAACUUUCUUUCUUGACAUUAUUAGUAGUCUUAAAAAUGUAACAGCCUGUUGAAGUUCCAGCUUUUCAUUGCGUUACGUGUACGUGAUCGCUGCCGUUUGAUGAAGGUUCUCUAAGAGGGUCUCAACUACACUGCAAGACAACAUUGUGAUGGAAAUAGGAAAUCUGAAAUAGUAAUAAUAAUAAUUAACUGACUUUAAGCAUUAAGUUCUUGAUUCAAAUGAAAUGGCAACUACAUCCUGCUUAUGAAGAAGAUGGCUUUUAUGAAAAGAUCUUAAUCUGAUGGUAGAGAUUUUUCACUUUUUUGACUUAACAGUAAUCUUCAUUUCUCUCAAGUUAAAUAAUGUGAAUUUCAAGUGUCUAAUUGCCUCCACCACUAAAAUUAGGUUUCCAUGGUCAGUUUGAUGUUUGAGCAGUUUUGUGGUGGCUGUUUGGUGUGCAGUGAUUUUCCAGGAGAGAUGUGUUAAAAAGUAGUCAUGUUGGCUUUAGAGUUUUUUUUUCCAGGGACAAAUCGAAUCGCCUGAUGUUGGCAACAUGGCAAUCGUAUGCCACUGAGCCCGACUUAAUCUUCUCUGGACACUGUCAGUUACAUUGUUCGUGAUCAAUGCGGUCAACUCUAACAUUCUUCUUCACAAAUAUCUCAAAGGAUUAAUGGCUUGGUGAAGUUUAGCUUUUUCAUGGCAGUUGAAUGUCCACAUGGACUUGCGGUGAGCUGGUGAAGGAUGUGGUGAGCUGUUGCAUGAGGACCAUGUUUGGGGAAUUGCUGCAUGCUGUCUGUGGUUUUCAUCGUCAGUUGUUGCUCUUUGGUAUGCAGUUCAUGUUCAGGUGGUUUUGUUGCAGCCACUGCUGGUGAAAGGGAGUCCAAGUUGAGUUGAGCUGCAGCUUUUGAAGCAGUCAAUGGAGCUGGUGUUAUUCUUAAAUGUAACAUCAAUGAAGGCAUCUUGAAAUGGUCUUGGUGACGAUGCGAUCAUUAAUCUUCUGCAUGCAGUUUUUCUUAUCAAGAAGUGGAGAAGCAAAACUGCAAGAAAAGAUAUGGUAUCGACGCUAAUGGUUUUGCUGUCCGACUCCUGUUCAAGCUGUUGCUUUCCUGAAUUUUGCCGGAGUCUUUGAAGUAGCUGUUGGUGUCUUGAGUUACUGUGCCAGUUCAAUUCCGGUUGAUGAAAAUAUUAUAUCCAUGUCGUAUGUGAUUGUAGUAACCUUAAUAAGCUAUUUUGUUAUCCAUUAUAGUGUGUUGUGAACUGAUGUUCUUUAAACAGCAAUUAUGCAUCCUGACAUUUCCCUCACCCAUAUUUUUUUAUCAAAUAACUCUUUAAGUAAUGGAAUGUUUUAAGUGAAUUUGAAAUUUUCGUUGUGCGUUGGAAUUUGAUAUAUAUUGCACAAUCAAAUGUAAAUGUCGAAAUGAAUAAAAAUACAACAAAUUUUUU
rnacentral:lncRNA from 1 species